UACGUAGGGUGCAAGCGUUAAUCGGAAUUACUGGGCGUAAAGAGUUGCGUAGGCGGCUAAGUAAGCAAGGUGUGAAAGCGUGUGGCUCAACCAUACAUCCAUGCCUUGAACUGCUUAGCUAGAGAAUGGAAGAGGUGGCUGGAAUUCCUAGUGUAGGAGUGAAAUCCGUAGAUAUUAGGAGGAACACCGAUGGCGUAGGCAGGCCACUGGUCCAUUUCUGACGCUCAGGCACGAAAGCGUGGGGAGCGAACGGG
rnacentral:rRNA from 1 species